rnacentral:lncRNA from 10 species
GGCGUUCGUCCCUCCUACAACGUCCGCAGCCUGCGCCGCGCGGUGGCUCUGGACUAGGCCUUUUCCUCUGGGUUGUGGAUCCUCUUCUCUAUGACUCCGUCCGAUCCCUAGUCUUUCUUCCAAAACAUCAUGAAACCCCCCCUCCAGGAGCCUUUCAUGCUUCUCUGUGUCUCAGUUUCCUCUUCUAUAACGUGGACGUAACAUGUUAUUCCCUCCAUAGCAGUGCUCCAUAUGUUUAGUUAUGAUUGUUGCUAUUAUUAAUAUUAUUGCUCUAUUAAUCCUGCUUGGCAGGACCUCUAGAUGACUUAAACAUCUCUGGCUUCACUGAUGGGGACACACACCAGCUCAGAGAGGUCAAGGGACUUGGCUCAAGUUUUAAAAAAUGAGUCAGAGGCCCGCUGGAUUGUAUUUUUCAUUCAUUCAUUCAUUCAACAAAUACUGAGCACCUAGCUGGGAAUACAGUGGCCAACAAGAAGUCCCUGCUCUCCUGGAGCUGACUUUUCAGCUCUGAAACUCUGAGCUCCUCUCCACCGUUCCAGCACUGGACACCAGGCCUGUUACCCAGAAGGUGGGUGCUCAGUAAAUGCCCACUGGUUGGAAAGAGUGCAGGUGGUCAGACCCUGUUUGAACACUUCCAGCCGUGGGCAAAUCAUCACCUCACACAGCAUCCACUGACAUGCUGGCAGUGUUUGUGGGAAGAGAAGUAGUAAAGCCACUGAGACCAGAAGGUGGAACUUAGCUGGGAGUCUCUCCUUGGCCUGGGGGAGGUGAAAAGGCACAGAGCACUAAGACCCAGUCAUGUGCGGCAGCACCACGCAGAGGCCAGCCUGCAGGAUUUUCACGGGCAAAAUUUUGGUGGAUGCUUCCUCUCCUGCCUGGACGUGGGGGUGCUCAAAGCCUACCACUUCUAGGAACCUUUCUCAGGCCUCACGGGAGGAGUAAUGAAGGCAAAACCUUGGGCUGAGGUGCUGAUUCCUGCACUGUCUCCCCUUCCCCAGGCAGAUUUUCAAUUUACACCCGAAUGUGCAUAGGCCUCUGGCCCUUUAUUUAUUUGUUGGGAGAUGGAGUCUCGCUUUGUUGCCCAGGCUGGAGUGCAGUGGUGCAAUCUUGGCUCAAUGCAGCCUCCACCUGGGUUCAAGUGAUUCUCCUGCCUCAGCCUCCUGAGUAGCUAGGAUUACAGGCGUGCACCACCAUGCCUGGCUAAUUUUUGUAUCUGUAGUAGAGAAGGGGUUUUGCCAUGUUGGUCAGGCUGGUCUUGAACUCCUGACCUCAAGGGAUCCACCUGCCUUGGGCUCCCAAAGUAUUGGGAUUACGGGCGUGAGCCACCAUGCCCAGCCCACUGACCCUUUAGUAUCCAGAAAAGCAAGAACCCUGGCUGGGGAGUGCUGUGCUGGCCCUGCAGUGGAAGGCAGUAGCUGCCAACUUACUAUGUGCUGGGCGUUGUGCUGGCGCUUUUCACAUACAACUUCAAUUAACCCACAGGCUCCUAUAAGGUAGAAGCAACUACAUUUACAGAUGAGGAAGCUUGUAUCCAAGGUUAAGUAGUAAGUAGGGAAAAGCAGGAUUAAGCCAUAGGCCUUCGGAGCUUCGGGACUGCGUUCCAAACCAUCAUCUGCUGUGCCUCUUCAUGCCCCUGGGGCCCUGUGUCUUCAUCUUUGCUUAGGGGGCCAGGGAAGAUGCAAAUGUCGUCCUGGCCCCUGGGCCUCUGCUCCAAGCUCAUGACCACUCUUGGAUGUCCAUUGCAGGCUGGUACUGAGGCUCUGAAACACCAAGCCCUUCAAGCGUGAUGGAGGGAGCUGGUUUAUUAUUAAAUGGCAUUGUCCCCAAGGAGUGGCAACUCUCCACCUCUCCAUGAAAACACAACCUCCUAGAGAAGGUAUCUCUUUCCAACUACUGUGCCUUCAAUCUCCAACCUCAAUUGUUUCCCAUCAAGACAAUUUUUUUUUUUUUUGUAACAGGGUCUUACUUUGUCGCCCAGGCUGGCAUGCAGUGGCACAAUCAUGGCUCACUGCAGUCUUGACCUCCCUAGCUCAAGUGUGAUCUUCCCAUUCAGCCUCCUGAGUAGUUGGGACCACAAGCAUACACCACCAUGCUUGGGUAAAUUUUUUUUUUUUUAGAGAUGGGGUCUCACUAUAUUGCCCAGGCUGGUCUCAAACUCCUGGUCUAAGUGAUCCUCCUGCCUCAGCCUCCCAAAGUGGUGGGAUUACAGACAUGAGCCACUGUGAUUGACCUCUUUUUUUUUUUUUUGAGACAGUCUAACUCUGUUGCCCAGGCUGGAGUGCAGUGACACAAACUUGGCUCACUGCAACCUCUGCCUCCUGGGUUGGAGCAAUUCUCCUGCCUCAGCCUCCCAAGUAGUUGGGAUUACAGGUGCCUGCCACCAUGCCCGGCUAAUUUUUGUAUUUUUAGUAGAGACAGGGUUUCACUAUGUUGGCCAGGCUGGUAUCAAACUCCUGACCUUGUGAUCCGCCUGCCUCGGCCUCCCAAAGUGCUGGGAUUACAAGCGUGAGCCACUGCGCCCGGCCAGACCUCUUUUCUUUUUCUUUUUUUGCUAAUAAAACAGUUAAGACAAUUGUCCAUUUUAUUUGUUAAAUUGCUAAAAAGUCAUCAGGGGAAAACAUUAACAAAAAAU